GUAAUAUCACUGGGAGGGCUCGCUUUUUUG
rnacentral:piRNA from 1 species